AGUGGGUUAUCAGAACUUAUUAACAUUAGUGUCACUAAAGUUGUUAUACCACCCCCCUCCCCACUGCU
rnacentral:sRNA from 1 species